rnacentral:rRNA from 1 species
AUCGAUGAAGAACGCAGCGAAAUGCGAUAAGUAAUGCGAAUUGCAGAAUUCAGUGAAUCAUCGAAUCUUUGAACGCACAUUGCGCUCUCUGGUAUUCCGGAGAGCACGCCUGUUCGAGCGCCAUUUCACCCCCCAAGCAGUGCUUGAUGUUGGAGGCCGCGGAGAGAUCCGCGCCUCUGAAACUUGUGAGGCGCCGUCGGUCGAGCACCAGCGUGGCAAGCAAACUUCGCUGGGAUGUGUUCGGAUGGGUGGCAGCCGCGACGUACCAAUUUUUUGGGAUUUUCCCGAAAAUCAGGUUGGCCUCGGAUCAGGUGGGGAUACCCGCUGAACUUAAGCAUAUCAAUAAGCGGAGGAAAAGAAACCAACAGGGAUUGCCUCAGUAACGGCGAGUGAAGCGGCAACAGCUCAAAUUUGAAAUCUGGCGUCUUCGGCGUCCGAGUUGUAAUUUGUAGAGGGAGUCUCGGGUGGAGCGCCGGUCCAAGUGCCUUGGAACAGGAUACCAGAGAGGGUGAGAGUCCCGUAUCUGGCCGGUUGCGACCCCGUGUGAGGCCCCUUCGACGAGUCGAGUUGUUUGGGAAUGCAGCUCUAAAUGGGUGGUAAAUUCCAUCUAAAGCUAAAUACUGGCCAGAGACCGAUAGCGCACAAGUAGAGUGAUCGAAAGAUGAAAAGCACUUUGAAAAGAGAGUUAAAAAGUACGUGAAAUUGUUGAAAGGGAAGCGUAUGUGGCCAGACUUGGCCGCGGUUGCUCAGCCUGCCUUCUGGCAGGUGUAUUCUUCCGCGGUCAGGCCAGCAUCGGUUUGGGCGGUCGGAUAAAGGCGCUGGGAAUGUGGCUCUUUGGAGUGUUAUAGCCCGGCGUGCAAUGCGGCCUGCCUGGACCGAGGACCGCGCUCUGCUAGGAUGCUGGCGUAAUGGCCUUAUACGGCCCGUCUUGAAACACGG